rnacentral:rRNA from 1 species
ACCCGCUGAACUUAAGCAUAUCAAUAAGCGGAGGAAAAGAAACCAACAGGGAUUACCUCAGUAACGGCGAGUGAAGCGGUAACAGCUCAAAUUUGAAAUCUGGGUCUUUCAGGCUCCGAGUUGUAAUUUGUAGAAGAUGCUUCGGGUGCGGCUCCGGUCUAAGUUCCUUGGAACAGGACGUCAUAGAGGGUGAGAAUCCCGUAUGUGAUCGGUUGCUUGCGCCCAUGUGAAGCUCUUUCGACGAGUCGAGUUGUUUGGGAAUGCAGCUCAAAAUGGGUGGUAAAUUUCAUCUAAAGCUAAAUAUUGGCCAGAGACCGAUAGCGCACAAGUAGAGUGAUCGAAAGAUGAAAAGCACUUUGGAAAGAGAGUUAAACAGUACGUGAAAUUGUUGAAAGGGAAGCGCUUGCAACCAGACUUGCGCGUUGCCGAUCAUCUGGGGUUCUCCCCAGUGCACUCGGCCUCGCUCAGGCCAGCAUCGGUUUCGGUGGUGGGAUAAAGGCCUUGGGAAUGUAGCUUCUUUCGGGGAGUGUUAUAGCCCUCGGUGCAAUGCCGCCUACCGGGACCGAGGACCGCGCUUCGGCUAGGAUGCUGGCGUAAUGGUUGUAAGCGACCCGUCUUGAAACACGGACCAAGGAGUCUAACAUCUAUGCGAGUGUUUGGGUGUCAAACCCAUACGCGUAAUGAAAGUGAACGGAGGUGAGAACCCUUAAGGGUGCAUCAUCGACCGAUCCUGAUGUCUUCGGAUGGAUUUGAGUAAGAGCAUAGCUGUUGGGACCCGAAAGAUGGUGAACUAUGCCUGAAUAGGGUGAAGCCAGAGGAAACUCUGGUGGAGGCUCGCAGCGGUUCUGACGUGCAAAUCGAUCGUCAAAUUUGGGUAUAGGGGCGAAAGACUAAUCGAACCAUCUAGUAGCUGGUUCCUGCCGAAGUUUCCCUCAGGA